rnacentral:rRNA from 1 species
GGCGGCCUCUAUUUAUAAGCUGCCGCUUUGGGAUGAGUCCGCGUCUCAUUAGCUUGGUUGGUGGGGUAAUGGCCUACCAAGGCAACGAUGAGUAGCUGGUCUGAGAGGAUGAUCAGCCACACUGGGACUGAAACACGGCCCAGACUCCUACGGGAGGCAGCAGUGGGGAAUAUUGCGCAAUGGGGGAAACCCUGACGCAGCGACGCCGCGUGCGGGAAGAAGGCCUUCGGGUCGUAAACCGCUGUCAGGAGGGAAGAAACUGUUAGGGUAUAAUACGCCCUUUCACUGACGGUACCUCCAAAGGAAGCACCGGCUAACUCCGUGCCAGCAGCCGCGGUAAUACGGAGGGUGCGAGCGUUAAUCGGAAUCACUGGGCGUAAAGCGCACGUAGGCGGCGCAUCAAGUCAGGCGUGAAAGCCCUCGGCUCAACCGAGGAAUUGCGCUUGAAACUGGUGUGCUGGAGUCUCGGAGAGGUUGGCGGAAUUCCAGGUGUAGGAGUGAAAUCCGUAGAUAUCUGGAGGAACACCGGUGGCGAAGGCGGCCAACUGGACGAGUACUGACGCUGAGGUGCGAAAGCGUGGGGAGCAAACAGGAUUAGAUACCCUGGUAGUCCACGCUGUAAACGAUGGAUAUUAGGUGUCGGGGGUUACCUUCGGUGCCGCAGUUAACGCGUUAAA